GGAAAGGGGGGGGCAGAGGAGGGGGUAAUCGGUGGGGGGGGGGCGUAAAGCGGGAGUGAUGGGGGGAAGGUGGGGGCAGGCGGCCGGGCAAUUCGAGGGUGAAAUCCCCGGGCUUAACGUGGGAAUUGCGCUCGAAACUACGUGGCUUGAGUGUGGCAGAGGAAGGUGGAAUUCCACGUGUAGCGGUGAAAUGCGUAGAGAUGUGGAGGAACACCAAUGGCGAAGGCAGCCUUCUGGGCCAACACUGACGCUCAUGCACGAAAGCGUGGGGAGCAAACAGGAUUAGAUACCCUUGUAGUC
rnacentral:rRNA from 1 species